rnacentral:lncRNA from 1 species
CACAUUGCCUGCCCAGACUUCUCAGGAGAGAACAUAGAAGAUCUCAGUGCUAAGAAAAGCUGUCAGAUAAAUCAUGUCACCCAUGUGAUGCACGCAAAAUCAUUAUUUGCAAAAGCUCCAAACACAGUAGCACUUAAUGGAGGUUUCCAAAGGCUGAAAUCAGUCUCUUUAGUCACUAAAGGAAGAUUCACUAUCAGAACUGUCUUCUGCAUUCCCAUCAUCUCCCCAGGCAGGCACAGGGGCAUCUGGAGUCUCAAGAAGAUCUGGAUUUAGCCCCUCAGAAAUCAUUUUGUUUCGUAUGGCCAUAACAGGAACACCCACUUGUACCAUUUUGAGAUAUCUGGCAUAUCUUGGGUCUUUGGCCACAGUUCUCAUAUUUUCUGUUACUAUCUCUGUUUUCUGUAGUGCUUCUUCA